rnacentral:rRNA from 1 species
UACGGGAGGCAGCAGUGGGGAAUAUUGCACAAUGGGCGCAAGCCUGAUGCAGCCAUGCCGCGUGUAUGAAGAAGGCCUUCGGGUUGUAAAGUACUUUCAGUCGUGAGGAAGGUGUUAAGGUUAAUAACCUUAGCAAUUGACGUUAGCGACAGAAGAAGCACCGGCUAACUCCGUGCCAGCAGCCGCGGUAAUACGGAGGGUGCGAGCGUUAAUCGGAAUUACUGGGCGUAAAGGGCACGCAGGCGGUUAAUUAAGUUGGAUGUGAAAUCCCCGGGCUUAACCUGGGAAUGGCAUUCAAGACUGGUUAGCUAGAGUCUUGUAGAGGGGGUAGAAUUCCAUGUGUAGCGGUGAAAUGCGUAGAGAUGUGGAGGAAUACCGGUGGCGAAGGCGGCCCCUGGGACAAAGGACUGACGCUCAUGUGCGAGGCGUGGGGAGCAAAC